UUUGUCUCUGAAGAAAGUGGAAUAUAUGACACUGCCUUCAGUUUCAUCAUACUUAUUAUGUCCUCGUACAUAAAAAGAAGGUUUCAGCUAGAGCUCUGUGCUGAAACCACAGUGAGUCUGACCCCAGCGUCAGAAAUACUCUGCACAGGAAGAGGAAGUUCUCACUCACAUCAUCUCUAUGUGUCUCACAGUGUGACGCUCAGACAGCAGGAAGACAUCAUGGAGGUCACAGCGCUCUGCAGCACACUGUAAUCAGGAUUUAAAAACCCAUGCUCAGCAGAGGAGCCUCUCUACGCCCCCGCGCUGAAGGACUCGUCCAGAGAUGCUCCGUAUAACUGUUCAGAAAAGAUUUCCAGUUCAACUCAGAUCAAAGUUCAAUGUCCUGUAUAACAUAUACAACCCAAAUAUUCCCAGAGCUGGAAGUACAUUUUAUAUUGAUGUUGUAUGUUCUUCUGUUAACUCUGCUCUGAUUAUUUGGUUUCAUAUCACUUUUCAUGUCUGUGUAAAUCUCAAAGAACAAUAACUGUGUGUCAUUGGUUUGCUUUUACUAAAUGAAGUUUAACUUGAAAGUGUUUUCUUGUUUACCACAAGUUCUCCAACUAUUCCAUCCCACACAACUGUUGAGCUUUGUGAGGGUUUUCACUUUCCUGACUUUAUGGCAUGUAAAUGUUCUAUAGAGGCUGAGAUCGAUCCCUCCACACAUUAACAGUGUGAGGCGAACCAGGGUCACGUGACUGCACUCUGAGGAGUUCAACAGGACUCUGAGAGUUUGGGGACAUCUGGUGGACAGAGGGAGGGAAAUAAUGCAGGUUUAUUGUGUCAUAUAUUUUAAUGAAAUGACUUCACACAUCAGAUCCUCUGUGACCUCAGGACUCAGUUGACAAACACUGCAGGUAAUAAGUAACUCUUGAUGAAAAUGGCUGAAUUUUAAAAGUUCUUGCUAUGAUUAUAAAUGGAAAAGCUUUGUCACAGUGCCACCAUUUAGUUUCUCUUUCAGGAUGAAAAGAAAAUCCUUACAGGGACUCAGAGCAGACCCAGUGUAACAGCCAUUUAAUGAGAGGUCUGUUUGGGUUUCCAGCUGUCACUGUUGUUAUUCACAGUGUGCGCCAUGAGGUGUCGCUGUCGGAUUACCUAUUACCUAUUAAGGUUGGUUUUGUCACCUGAUCAGUUGUGUGUGACCCCAGGAGGGCGAAUGGUUUUUAACCAAAGUAGUGCAAGUGUGAACCCAAAAUAAUGAUCAUUGAAUGGACUUCACCACGCACAAAAACAGUCUGAUAACGAGCCUACUGAUACGUGUUUGAACACAACAGCACAAACGGUAUCUACAAACACAGUAAAGCGUGUCAGCCAAGUCCUCCCCGGGAGUCAAACCACCACAUACGAAGCUUUGGGCUGAAGCUCCUACACCCAGCGUAGGGUCUCUUUAAUCAAUGCAGAUGCUGUUGAAGAUGGAAGCCUUUAUUGUCAUUAUCAAAAACAAUGAAGAAACUAGUGCCUGUUCCAAAAAGGGACACGCAAUAACAGACUGAGACACAGUUAAAGCGCUUUGCUGAACAAAUAAGGCAGGUCAAAUAAGAACCUGGUGGCUGUGUGAAAGAAGA